AUGAGUGCCCUAUGUUGGAACUACCAUGGGAUUGACGACCCUGCGAUAGUACAACAGCUAAAGGAGCUCAUCUGGGAGUGUGCGCCGAAGGUGGCUUGUCUGGUCGAAACGCAGCUGACAAAGCAAUGUGUCGAGGACCUGGCAGGUGUUCUAGGGUAUGAUGGGAAAUAUGUUGUGGCUAGUAGUGGAAGGACUGGUAGCUUGGCGGUGUUUUGGAAGACUCCUAUUAGUUUGAGGUUGUUAAACUUUUCCAAAUAUCAUAUUGAUAUAGUUGUGACAGAGCUAGGGAAGGAAGAAUGGAGACUAACUUGUUUUUACGGGGAUGCUAACCGGAGUCUGAGGCAAAAUACAUGGGAUAUGAUGAAAUUUUUGAGGGGAGAAUCAACUCUGUCAUGGGCUUGUAUAGGUGAUUUUAAUGGGAUUCUUUGCCGAGAGGAACAAUUUGGUCCAAAUGAGAGGGAUGCGGCUCAGAUGGCUGGGUUUAGGGAGGUUGUCGAUGUAUGUGGUUUGUGUGACCUGGGCUACAUUUGUCUAGACUAG
rnacentral:rRNA from 1 species